rnacentral:rRNA from 1 species
UCGGGAAUUUUGGGUAAUGGGCGAAAGCCUGACCCAGCAACGCCGCGUGAAGGAUGAAGUAUUUCGGUAUGUAAACUUCGAAAGAAUAGGAAGAAUAAAUGACGGUACUAUUUAUAAGGUCCGGCUAACUACGUGCCAGCAGCCGCGGUAAUACGUAGGGACCAAGCGUUGUUCGGAUUUACUGGGCGCAAAGGGCGCGUAGGCGGCAAUUCAAGUCAUCUGUGAAAUCUCCGGGCUUAACUCGGAACGGUCAGAUGAUACUGCUUUGCUAGAGUGCAGAAGGGGCAAUCGGAAUUCUUGGUGUAGCGGUGAAAUGCGUAGAUAUCAAGAGGAACACCUGAGGUGAAGACGGGUUGCUGGGCUGACACUGACGCUGAGGCGCGAAAGCCAGGGGAGCAAACGGGAUUAGAUACCCCAGUAGUCCCUGAGCGGGCUGGCAAGGCGCAU